CUCAUGACUGCUGUGGAAAGAGUAGAACCCUUACUACUACUUGAACUAUUGUCCUGGCAGUGACUGAGAGAGGGGUGCCGCCAUCCCCCCUCCCUCAAAUCAUAUGUACAUGAUGUAUACAAAUCUGCCUAAGUUCAUAAACAAAUAAACAAAAGCAACCCCCAAAGAUAAUAUAUAUGUAUAAAUGAAGCUUGUUACGGUCCAUUUCUCUUAAAUAAAAAAUGCAUAAAUAAAAUUAAAGUAUUAUCCUUAUCUAAAAAAAAAAGUAUAUGUAAUGACACCAAUUUUUUAUCUCUUCAAUUUGUUUUCCCAUUAAAAUAUGUGUAAUACUAAAUAAAAUAAAGUUUUUCUCCAACCUUCUAUCUUCUUCCCUUUUUUUCAUAAAGUGAUGUCAAAUCUUGGAGAAUUAGUGAAGGAUAAAUAAUAUGAACAAAAUAACAUUUAUUAACUUCAUUUAACUUCACUGAUAAUUUUCUUUUGGCCCCUCUUUUCUUCAGAAGAUAAAGGGAAAUAACAAUGACAUUUAGCCCCUUCUUACAAAAAAACCUAGCUCAGCCACUAACUCCAGGGAGGCACAUAUACCCUUCUUAAAAAAGAAUUAUUUGUAGAACUCAAACCUGAAGUAGGAAGAAUGCUUUUCUCAAUACAAGGCUUCCAACUUUGAUUCAAUUUCGGCCACGCUUCCAUUAACUACAUGAUUUCCAAAAGGUGUAUUAUCAGUUAGUCUAGUUUAAUCAUCCAUGUGCAUUGACUGAAGAAAGAAACUAUGGAAAGAUAAACACGUUCUUCUGAAAAGAAGUACAUGCCUAACAAAUUAAGAACACUCCUUUGAGCUUCUAAUGGUUUUUUGAUGACCCCAAUGGGGUUUGUAACCCUUGAACCCCUAUCCCCUCAGUAGAUAGGAAACAUUCUUCCCAACUGUUUCAGCAGGGUUAUGCAUUUACAGUUGACAUAACUGUAAACCUUAUCCAGAUAUUUUCAAUAUGACACUACACCUUUAUUUAGUGAUCGGUAGACAUCUAUAAGAUGGUCCAAGUAAAUAGUAG
rnacentral:lncRNA from 1 species